GGGGAUAUAGCUCAGAGGUAGAGCAUUC
rnacentral:ncRNA from 5 species